UUGUGGUUAAAAAGCUCGUAGUUGGAUCUCAACAGCCUUGAAGCGGUUAACUUUGUAGUUUUACUGCUUUAUAGGCUGUGCUUUUGCUGGAGGUUUAGGGGUGCUCUUGAUCGAGUGUCUCUGGAUGCCAGCAAGUUUACUUUGAAAAAAUUAGAGUGCUCAAAGCAGGCUAAAAUGCCUGAAUAUCGUGCAUGGAAUAAUAGAAUAGGAUGUCGAUCCUAUUUUGUUGGUUUUCGGGACUCGACAUAAUGAUAAAUAGGGACAGUCGGGGGCAUUUGUAUUCAAACGACAGAGGUGAAAUUCUUGGACCGUUUGAAGACAAACUACUGCGAAAGCAUUUGCCAAGAAUGUUUUCAUUAAUCAAGAACGAAAGUUAGAGGUUCGAAGGCGAUUAGAUACCGCCCUAGUUCUAACCAUAAACGAUGCCAGCUAGCGAUCUGCCUGCGUUUUUACUGUAGACUGGGCAGGAAGCUUCCGGGAAACCAAAGCAUUUGGGUUCCAGGGGAAGUAUGGUUGCAAAGCUGAAACUUAAAGGAAUUGACGGAAGGGCACCACCAGGAGUGGAGCCUGUGGCUUAAUUUGACUCAACACGGGAAAUCUCACCAGGCCCGGACACUGGAAG
rnacentral:rRNA from 1 species